GAAAACUAGCUGAAUCCCUACAAUUGUUUUUUCUAAGGGAAUGGUGAAGGAAAUUGUUUCUAUUUAAUCUAUAUGUUUUAAAAAAUCAAACAAACCCAAUUUAUUCUUUAUUCCCAGAUUAGAAAUGAUAUUUGCCAAAUUUGAUGAAGUGCAAAGUUCAGGCGGUAUGAUUUUGAGUGUCUGCAAAGACGGAAUCUCGCUCUGUUGCCCAGGCUGGAAUGCAGUGGUGCGAUCUCAGCUCACUGCAACCUCCACCUCCCAG
rnacentral:lncRNA from 1 species